ensembl:lncRNA
GACCACAGCCACACUCACCAUGACUCUGUGGCCAUUCACCCCAGACUCAGGGCUGAGAGGGACCCGAUGUGUCAUGUAACAGUCCACAGCCCAACACGAGUCUCCCUGGAUACACUCAGUAUAAAGAUCAGCCACCAAAUUCCAAACAGAAGGUUCUCCUGGAAAACAGCCCAUUCCCAGAUCCCAGGAGAUUCAUGAGAUUGGUGCAGUUCACUGUGCAUAAAUUUUACCAGCAAAAAGAAAGCAAGCAAGCAAGAAAGAAAGCGAGAAAGAAAGAAAGAAAGAGAGAAAGAAAGAAAGCAAGAAAGCAAGAAAGAAAGAAAGAAAGAAAGAAAGAAAGAAAGAGAGAAAGAAAGAAAGAAAGAAAGAAAGAAAGAGAGAAAGAAAGAAAGAAAGCAAGCAAGCAAGAAAGAAAGAAAGAAAGAAAGAAAGAAAGAAAGAAAGCAAGCAAGAAAGAAAGAAAGAAAGAGAGAAAGAAAGAAAGAAAGAGAGAAAGAAAGAAAGCAAGAAAGCAAGAAAGAAAGAAAGAAAGAAAGAAAGAAAGAAAGAGAGAAAGAAAGAAAGAAAGAAAGAAAGAAAGAGAGAAAGAAAGAAAGAAAGCAAGCAAGCAAGAAAGAAAGAAAGAAAGAAAGAAAGAAAGAAAGAAAGCAAGCAAGAAAGAAAGAAAGAAAGAGAGAAAGAAAGAAAGAAAGAGAGAAAGAAAGAAAGCAAGAAAGCAAGAAAGAAAGAAAGAAAGAAAGAAAGAAAGAGAGAAAGAAAGAAAGAAAGAAAGAAAGAAAGAAAGAGAGAAAGAAAGAAAGAAAGCAAGCAAGCAAGAAAGAAAGAAAGAGAGAAAGAAAGAAAGAAAGAAAGCAAGCAAGAAAGAAAGAAAGAAAGAAAGAAAGAGAGAAAGAAAGAAAGAAAGCAAGAAAGAAAGAAAGAAAGAAAGAAAGAGAGAAAGAAAGAAAGAAAGCAAGAAAGAAAGAAAGAAAGAAAGAAAGAGAGAAAGAAAGAAAGAAAGCAAGCAAGCAAGCAAGAAAGAAAGAAAGAAAGAAAGAGAGAAAGAAAGAAAGAAAGCAAGCAAGAAAGAAAGAAAGAAAGAAAGAAAGAGAGAAAGAAAGAAAGAAAGCAAGAAAGAAAGAAAGAAAGAAAGAAAGAAAGAGAGAAAGAAAGAAAGAAAGCAAGAAAGAAAGAAAGAAAGAAAGAAAGAAAGCAAGAAAGAAAGAAAGAAAGAGAGAAAGAAAGAAAGAAAGCAAGCAAGCAAGCAAGAAAGAAAGAAAGAAAGAGAGAAAGAAAGAAAGAAAGCAAGAAAGAAAGAAAGAAAGAAAGAAAGAAAGAGAGAAAGAAAGAAAGAAAGCAAGAAAGAAAGAAAGAAAGAAAGAGAGAAAGAAAGAAAGAAAGCAAGAAAGAAAGAAAGAAAGAAAGAAAGAGAGAAAGAAAGAAAGAAAGCAAGAAAGAAAGAAAGAAAGAAAGAAAGAGAGAAAGAAAGAAAGAAAGCAAGCAAGCAAGCAAGAAAGAAAGAAAGAAAGAAAGAAAGAGAGAAAGAAAGAAAGAAAGCAAGCAAGAAAGAAAGAAAGAAAGAAAGAAAGAAAGAGAGAAAGAAAGAAAGAAAGCAAGAAAGAAAGAAAGAAAGAAAGAAAGAAAGAGAGAAAGAAAGAAAGAAAGCAAGAAAGAAAGAAAGAAAGAAAGAAAGCAAGAAAGCAAGAAAGAAAGAAAGAAA